rnacentral:rRNA from 1 species
GCAUAUCAAUAAGCGGAGGAAAAGAAACCAACAGGGAUUGCCCCAGUAACGGCGAGUGAAGCGGCAACAGCUCAAAUUUGAAAUCUGGCCCUUGGGUCCGAGUUGUAAUUUGUAGAGGAUGCUUUUGGCGAGGUGCCUUCCGAGUUCCCUGGAACGGGACGCCAUAGAGGGUGAGAGCCCCGUCUGGUCGGACACCGAGCCUCUGUAAAGCUCCUUCGACGAGUCGAGUAGUUUGGGAAUGCUGCUCAAAAUGGGAGGUAUAUGUCUUCUAAAGCUAAAUAUUGGCCAGAGACCGAUAGCGCACAAGUAGAGUGAUCGAAAGAUGAAAAGCACUUUGAAAAGAGGGUUAAAAAGUACGUGAAAUUGUUGAAAGGGAAGCGCCUAUGACCAGACUUGGGCCCGGUGAAUCAUCCAGCGUUCUCGCUGGUGCACUUUGCCGGGCACAGGCCAGCAUCAGUUUGGCGCGGGGGAAAAAGGCUUUGGGAAUGUGGCUCCCUCGGGAGUGUUAUAGCCCAUUGUGUAAUACCCUGCGCCGGACUGAGGUACGCGCAUUGCAAGGAUGCUGGCGUAAUGGUCAUCAGCGACCCGUCUUGAAACACGGACC